rnacentral:lncRNA from 1 species
CUUACCCAUUCAAAAGAAGCUCCAAUUGUGGUUGAAGCAGGAUUUUAAGGCAUCAUCACCAUAUUCAUCCCUCCCAUACAAAAAACAAACAAACAAUGGCCACCAAAAGAACACUCACCUUCACAAUAAUAUGACCGACUAAAAGUCUAAACUCUUUCAGAAUCCAACGGCUUUUCUAGUUUCUUCGCCAAGAAAAAUUCCGUUUUUUUCUUGUUUAAUUCUGCUGAUUGGGAUGUGGUGU